ensembl:antisense
UGGGCUCGGCAGCCACCGGGGGCGCUGUGUGCGGCCCGGAGCCUGUGCACCGAGACGCGGCGCGAGCGGCGGAGCAGAACGCGAAGCAGGACGCCGAAGAAGGAUGGGCGUCCUCAGCCUGCGCGCUGCAACUACGGCUUGCGGGGUAGUCUUAGAGGCGGGACCAUUGCUUUCGCAGGGACGCAGGUGAGAGGUCCAGCUAAGUCUCCAUGCGCCCUCUUAGCUGGCAGUAACUGGGAUCACUCCUGGAGCCUUCAUUUCAGACUCCACAGGAAAUCCAGGGCUCACACCAUCAUUCAGAGGCAAGGAUAAGAGGGAGGAAGACUGGGCUCAAUGGAAACCCCUCAGAAUUCCAGCACUUGGGAGGCGGAGACAAAAGCAUCAAUAGUUCCCAGUUAUCCUUGGCUGCAUGUGGAGUCGGUGCAGCCAGCUGGGUUAAAAAGAGUGAAGGGACCCAGAGUUAAGGUUGUCACUAUUUUCAGGUGUCCAGUCGCCUGACCACAAGAUUGUCUAUGAAGGUAUUCUCAACUCAAUUGGACUGUCUUGUUGGCCUGGGUUUCUUUUGUCUGAAUGAUGUAGAUUGUAGGGGUUCCCCAGCCCAGUCUCAAGUUGUUCCCCGCAGAGGUUGGGGGUCUUAUCAUAUCUGUCUUGGUGAUACUUCCUUCUGCAAACAGAAGUUGUGGUAUGGGACAGCCUUGACCCAGCUAUUCCACUCCUACAGACAGGCUGGGUGUGUUGCCACCCCAUAUUUACAUAAGGAUCCAACUCGGCUCUUUUGAGACCAAGAGGACAUUUUGCACUGUGAAGUCAGUAGACUGCAGACUCCAAACCUCCAAAUGCCUUCACCAUCAUGGUGCCCAGCCCAAGAACCUGUCCUUCUAACAUUGAUAAGUUACUUGGAGAGCCCCCUUGUGGUUACAGUCAGUGUUAACACCCAAGGCCCCUGAAGAAGUGUUUAUAGAGAGGGGUCCUGUAGUCCCUGAGGCAGAAAAGUACAAGAGCUUGGUCUGGCUAAAGCUACAGUUGAAUAGCUCCAAGAACUGAGCUGGUGGAAGUAAAGAGUUCCGGAUACACCCCACAGAUAACUUUCAACCUGGUCAUUAUGUCCCUUGUACCUUUGUCACCUCUAAGUGACUUACUCUAGUCAAGUCUUGGAAGGUGAUGUGAGCAGGGAUCAGCUACACAAUCUAAGAGCAAACCUGGGUAUGAGGCCCCGUUCUCUGCAAGUCACUGCAGCUUCAAUGGCAGAAUGGGGACAGUAGCAAUGGUCCCUUUAAGGGACUUGGGAGAGGAUGCUCAGUGGUCAGAUCAGCUAGCUUGUACAUCAGUCCUGAAAUGGAUAGUGCCAGCCAUUCACUCCUAUAGGGCUGGUACUCCCCACGAGGCAUACAAGUCUUGAUCACUGUGUACCUCACAUCCCCUUAACAUUGAGUUCUGCAAAGAAGCCUUUAUUCUUUAUUCGAAGGGACAGCCCUCCACCUGGGGACCCAAAUAUAUCUUUACACAUAGAAGCAGAUAUGACCAAACCCUUUAGGCUCUUCAGGGGGAAAAACAGGGGUGUUGGGUGGUGACAGACUAUGACAUGCAAGAAGUUGAUGCAGACAAACCCCUCAGGCCUCACAGGAACAGGGAGUAGAAAAGGGGAGCCAUAAAGAGCAAGUCGGGGGUUUUAUUCACUUUCUUAUUUAUUCACCGAUUAACCAACCAGUGGACACACCUCUGUAAUUUA